rnacentral:rRNA from 1 species
UGCCAGCCGCCGCGGUAAUACGGAAGGUCCUAGCGUUGUUCGGAAUUACUGGGCGUAAAGCGCACGUAGGCGGUUUAUUAAGUCGGAUGUGAAAGCCCUGGGCUCAACCUGGGAACUGCACUCGAUACUGGUAGACUAGAAUUUGGGAGAGGUGAGUGGAAUUUCCGGUGUAGCGGUGAAAUGCAUAGAGAUCGGAAGGAACACCAGUGGCGAAGGCGACUCACUGGACCAAAAUUGACGCUGAGGUGCGAAAGCGCGGGUAGCAAACAGGAUUAGAUA